UAGAUACCCCACUAUACUUAGCCGUAAACCUUGAUGGGCCCCCUACUAACCCCUCCGCCAGAGAACUACGAGUAAAAAACUUAAAACCCAAAGGACUUGACGGUGCCCCACACCAGCCUAGAGGAGCCUGUCCUAUAAUCGAUACCCCACGCUUCACCCCUCCCCCCCUCGCACCAAGCAGCCUAUAUACCGCCGUCGCCAGCCUGCCUAGUGAUAGACACACAGCAGGCAGAACAGCCCACCCACUAACACGUCAGGUCAAGGUGUAGCUAAUGGUGGGGCCUGAGAUGGGCUACAUUUUCUAGACACUAGAAAACACCACGGGCUACAUGAAAUUUUAGCCACAAGGUGGAUUUAGCAGUAAGCUAGGGCAAGAUAUGCCCAACUGAAGCCUGCUCUAGGGCGCGUACACACCGCCGG
rnacentral:rRNA from 1 species